rnacentral:tRNA from 1 species
AAGUGUGUAAUUCAGUGGUUAGAAUAUAUAGCUACGAACUAUAAAGUCGUGAGUUCAACUCUCACCAUACUUA